GCGGACGUGGCGGAAUUGGUAGACGCGCUAGAUUUAGGUUCUAGUAUCGUAAGAUGUGAGAGUUCAAGUCUCUCCGUCCGCACCA
rnacentral:tRNA from 1 species